AUUGAACGCUGGCGGCAGGCCUAACACAUGCAAGUCGAACGGUAACAGGAAGAAGCUUGCUUCUUUGCUGACGAGUGGCGGACGGGUGAGUAAUGUCUGGGAAACUGCCUGAUGGAGGGGGAUAACUACUGGAAACGGUAGCUAAUACCGCAUAACGUCGCAAGACCAAAGAGGGGGACCUUCGGGCCUCUUGCCAUCGGAUGUGCCCAGAUGGGAUUAGCUAGUAGGUGGGGUAACGGCUCACCUAGGCGACGAUCCCUAGCUGGUCUGAGAGGAUGACCAGCCACACUGGAACUGAGCCACGGUCCAGACUCCUACGGGAGGCAGCAGUGGGGAAUAUUGGACAAUGGGCGCAAGCCUGAUGCAGCCAUGCCGCGUGUAUGAAGAAGGCCUUCGGGUUGUAAAGUACUUUCAGCGGGGAGGAAGGGAGUAAAGUUAAUACCUUUGCUCAUUGACGUUACCCGCAGAAGAAGCACCGGCUAACUCCGUG
rnacentral:rRNA from 1 species